CCAAACAAGCAUAAUUCAACCUUUCAUCAUGGAUCAGAUGAAGGCUACAAAGAGAUAGUGCCUUCAAGAAUCCUGUAGUGAUAUGGUGGUUAACUGCUGCACCACCUAUGAUGGUGGUGGUGGUGGUGCCAUCUUUGGCAACAUGUCCUUUCUCAUUUGGCAGUGCGAUAAGACAAGCAAUUGCAAUUGCAAUUUGCAACAAUAUUCAAGAUUUACCUCUUCUACAUAUCUAAAAUCCUCAAUAACAGUCUUAGACCAAAAAAGUUAAUGAAUGCAAUGUUAUUGAUUUAUUUAUAUUUGUUUUCCAUACUAACAAUGAAUAGAUCUUGUUUACAAUGUCAGUGCAUCAAUGAAUUCUAUUUAUAUGCUUAUAUAAUGAUAUGAAAAGGGUAAAGGACUGUUCUCUACUCCUUAGCACAAGCACAGAGCAAGCAAGCUACAAACUAAAAAAGCUAUCUUGAUCGAUCAAAUAGCGUUAAUGGAGCAAUAAACUUAGGAGCAAGAACAGUCUUUUACUUUAUUAUGGAAAGAUCACAUUCACGUAAUAAAAUAAAUAAAUAAAUAACAUGUAUUUCUCAUACAACACACAGUAUGUACUCUUGUAUCAUGCUUGUGGGGCC
rnacentral:lncRNA from 1 species